rnacentral:rRNA from 1 species
CAGCCGCCACGGGAAUACGAAGGGUGCAAGCGUUACUCGGAAUUACUGGGCGUAAAGCGUGCGUAGGUGGUGGUUUAAGUCCGUUGUGAAAGCCCUGGGCUCAACCUGGGAAUUGCAGUGGAUACUGGAUCACUAGAGUGUGGUAGAGGAUUGUGGAAUUUCCGGUGUAGCAGUGAAAUGCGUAGAGAUCGGAAGGAACAUCUGUGGCGAAGGCGACUAUCUGGGCCAACACUGACACUGAGGCACGAAAGCGUGGGGAGCAAACAGGAUUAGAUACCCCGGUAGUCCCUGUCUCUUAUAC